rnacentral:rRNA from 1 species
ACCAACAGGGAUUGCCUUAGUAACGGCGAGUGAAGCGGCAACAGCUCAAAUUUGAAAUCUGGCUCUUUCAGAGUCCGAGUUGUAAUUUGCAGAGGGCGCUUUGGCUUUGGCAGCGGUCCAAGUUCCUUGGAACAGGACGUCACAGAGGGUGAGAAUCCCGUACGUGGUCGCUAGCUAUUGCCGUGUAAAGCCCCUUCGACGAGUCGAGUUGUUUGGGAAUGCAGCUCUAAAUGGGAGGUAAAUUUCUUCUAAAGCUAAAUAUUGGCCAGAGACCGAUAGCGCACAAGUAGAGUGAUCGAAAGAUGAAAAGCACUUUGGAAAGAGAGUCAAACAGCACGUGAAAUUGUUGAAAGGGAAGCGCUUGCAGCCAGACUUGCUUGCAGUUGCUCAUCCGGGCUUUUGCCCGGUGCACUCUUCUGCAGGCAGGCCAGCAUCAGUUUGGGCGGUGGGAUAAAGGUCUCUGACACGUUCCUUCCUUCGGGUUGGCCAUAUAGGGGAGACGUCAUACCACCAGCCUGGACUGAGGUCCGCGCAUCUGCUAGGAUGCUGGCGUAAUGGCUGUAAGCGGCCCGUCUUGAAACACGGACCAAGGAGUCUAACAUCUAUGCGAGUGUUUGGGUGUCAAGCCCGAGCGCGUAAUGAAAGUGAACGGAGGUGGGAACCCGCAAGGGCGCACCAUCGACCGAUCCUGAAGUUUACGGAAGGAUUUGAGUAAGAGCAUGGCUGUUGGGACCCGAAAGAUGGUGAACUAUGCUUGAAUAGGGUGAAGCCAGAGGAAACUCUGGUGGAGGCUCGCAGCGGUUCUGACGUGCAAAUCGAUCGUCAAAUUUGGGCAUAGGGGCGAAAGACUAAUCGAACU